rnacentral:rRNA from 1 species
GACGAACCGAGCGAACGUUGUUCGGAAUCACUGGGCUUAAAGGGCGCGUAGGCGGGUGCUCAAGUCCGGGGGGAAAUCCUCCAGCUCAACUGGAGAACUGCCUCGGAUACUGGGUGCCUCGAGGGUGGCAGGGGUAUGCGGAACUAUCGGUGGAGCGGUGAAAUGCGUUGAUAUCGAUAGGAACUCCGGUGGCGAAGGCGGCAUACUGGUCCACUUCUGACGCUGAGGCGCGAAAGCCAGGGGAGCAAACGGG